GGGGAUGCAAGGCAUAGACAGUUGGUCAUUUGUCUAAGAUGCAUGUCGAGCAUGAACGUAAUCUCGUAAAAAUUCGUUCACAUGUUAAUUGCAAAAUUGACUCUAGGUGAAAGAUUGUCUCCAUACUUCGGUAUGAAAGAUUUUUCUUUCGCUCCAACCUUCGCUUAGGCCUAGGCUGGCGUCUCUCUCAUAGACUUCCGAUAUAUGAGUAGAGGUGUAAUAUUAUCGGGAUAAGGGAAUAUUCGCUCGCAUAUUUCACCAAAACCUAGAGCUCGGUUAAAAAAUAUUUGGCUCGUUUCUUAAUUUUUUAAUUUAAACAAAAAAGCGUGCUACACAUGUAGACUUUUUAGCAACAACCUUCUGCACUGGGAUUCAAUUUCCCACAUCUCCACUA
rnacentral:tmRNA from 1 species